rnacentral:rRNA from 1 species
GACGAACGCUGGCGGCGUGCCUAAUACAUGCAAGUUGAGCGCUGAAGGUUGGUACUUGUACCAACUGGAUGAGCAGCGAACGGGUGAGUAACGCGUGGGGAAUCUGCCUUUGAGCGGGGGACAACAUUUGGAAACGAAUGCUAAUACCGCAUAAAAACUUUAAACACAAGUUUUAAGUUUGAAAGAUGCAAUUGCAUCACUCAAAGAUGAUCCCGCGUUGUAUUAGCUAGUUGGUGAGGUAAAGGCUCACCAAGGCGAUGAUACAUAGCCGACCUGAGAGGGUGAUCGGCCACAUUGGGACUGAGACACGGCCCAAACUCCUACGGGAGGCAGCAGUAGGGAAUCUUCGGCAAUGGACGAAAGUCUGACCGAGCAACGCCGCGUGAGUGAAGAGGGUUUUCGGAUCGUAAAACUCGGUUGGUAGAGAAGAACGUUGGUGAGAGUGGAAAGCUCAUCAAGUGACGGUAACUACCCAGAAAGGGACGGCUAACUACGUG